AACUGAUUUGAAGAGCUUGCUCAGAUAUGACGAUGGACAUUGCAAAGAGUGGCGAACGGGUGAGUAACACGUGGGAAACCUACCUCUUAGCAGGGGAUAACAUUUGGAAACAGAUGCUAAUACCGUAUAACAAUGACAACCGCAUGGUUGUUAUUUAAAAGAUGGUUCUGCUAUCACUAAGAGAUGGUCCCGCGGUGCAUUAGCUAGUUGGUAAGGUAAUGGCUUACCAAGGCGAUGAUGCAUAGCCGAGUUGAGAGACUGAUCGGCCACAAUGGGACUGAGACACGGCCCAUACUCCUACGGGAGGCAGCAGUAGGGAAUCUUCCACAAUGGGCGAAAGCCUGAUGGAGCAACGCCGCGUGUGUGAUGAAGGGUUUCGGCUCGUAAAACACUGUUGUAAGAGAAGAAUGACAUUGAGAGUAACUGUUCAAUGUGUGACGGUAUCUUACCAGAAAGGAACGGCUAAAUACGUGCCAGCAGCCGCGGUAAUACGUAUGUUCCAAGCGUUAUCCGGAUUUAUUGGGCGUAAAGCGAGCGCAGACGGUUAUUUAAGUCUGAAGUGAAAGCCCUCAGCUCAACUGAGGAAUUGCUUUGGAAACUGGAUGACUUGAGUGCAGUAGAGGAAAGUGGAACUCCAUGUGUAGCGGUGAAAUGCGUAGAUAUAUGGAAGAACACCAGUGGCGAAGGCGGCUUUCUGGACUGUAACUGACGUUGAGGCUC
rnacentral:rRNA from 1 species